UCAGUGGCAACCUGUUUUACAGGCUAAUCGAUUGGCAAAUCGAUUGUACACAUCACAAAGUAAAACUGAUUGAAACAAAUCGAUUGGGAAAUCGAUUGGGCAAGUCACAGUGACAAUCCAUUUUCUAGGGUAAUCGAUUGGCAAAUCGAUUGCUUAGAUAAUAUUUGAAAAAUAACUUGACCUGUGACAAACACAAUCGAUUGGACAAUCUAUUGUGAAAAUUUCAAUCAUGUUAAGUUUGGUUUUAAUCGAUUGGGAAAUCGAUUGAACUAAACAUCUGGUAAGAACUUUUCAGGCAAAUACUACCAAAUCGAUUGGCACUUCGAUUAACAUGAAAAUAGCUAAGUCACUGCUUUGAACACAAUCGAUUGGCAAAUCGAUUG
rnacentral:lncRNA from 1 species